GACGAACGCUGGCGGCGUGCCUAAUACAUGCAAGUAGAACGCUGAAGAGAGGAGCUUGCUCUUCUUGGAUGAGUUGCGAACGGGUGAGUAACGCGUAGGUAACCUGCCUGGUAGCGGGGGAUAACUAUUGGAAACGAUAGCUAAUACCGCAUAAAAUGGAUUAUCGCAUGAUAAUCCAUUGAAAGGUGCAAAUGCAUCACUACCAGAUGGACCUGCGUUGUAUUAGCUAGUUGGUGGGGUAACGGCUCAUCAAGGCGACGAUACAUAGCCGACCUGAGAGGGGGGUCGGCCGCCUGGGGGGGGGGACCGGGCCCAGACCCUCCGGGGGGGGGGCAGGAGGGAAUCUUGAGAAAGGGGGGGAGGUCGGACCGAGAAGCGCGGGGGGAGUAAAGAGGUUUUUCGGAUCGUAAAGCUCUGUUGUAAGAGAAGAACGAGUGUGAGAGUGGAAAGUUCACGCUGGGACGGUAUCUUACAAAAAAGGGACGGCUAACUACGUG
rnacentral:rRNA from 1 species